rnacentral:rRNA from 1 species
AUACAGAGGGUGCGAGCGUUAAUCGGAAUUACUGGGCGUAAAGCGCGCGUAGGCGGCUUGGUCAGUCGGAUGUGAAAGCCCCGGGCUCAACCUGGGAAUGGCAUUCGAUACUGCCAGGCUAGAGUAUGGGAGAGGGAAGUGGAAUUUCCGGUGUAGCGGUGAAAUGCGUAGAUAUCGGAAGGAACACCAGUGGCGAAGGCGACUUCCUGGCCCAAUUCUGACGCUGAGGUGCGAAAGCGUGGGGAGCGAACAGGAUUAGAAACCCUAGUAGUCC